GUCAAGAUUGUUGCACAGUGACUUAUUCACUGCUUGUGAUCCAGAAGCACUCAACAUAACCCAACUGUCAUCCAGAGUAACAGUCAUUGCUGAAUUGGUGCCCUUUCCGGUGAUGAAAAUGUCUAGCACCAGCAUGAUAACAUCAUGGCAGACUGUACUCUUUCUGAAUGCAGGUAGAACAAGAUCUGCUUUUAAAAGGCAUUAAGGUAUUUUUGGUGCAUUUUCUCCUGAGUCUAACUGGUAAGAUGCAUUAUUACACAGUUACAUACUGUCAAAGAUAAUGUAUGUAUGUGUAUCGGUAUGUGAUGUAUACAGGAAAGGUUUUUUGAUUCUUAGAUGUUGUAUGUUGAAUUGACAAAAUCCAGUCAAGUUUAGUUGAAUUAUUUGUGAGUAUAGUGCAUAUUUUUCUCAUCUUUUGUUUUGGUUGUGUUUCAGCUGUGCAGUGUGAAUGGAGUGUGACCUACUCCUCUACACAUGUCUGUGGUCUUAAAGGAGCAUCAGUGGUCCUGCCCUGCACAUACCAGUAUUCUUAUGGAGACACGUAUCUGGGAGGAGAGUGGUAUGAAGAGAAGAGUGGUAGAGUCAUAAAACACAGUCACUCUAAUUAUCCUGACUGCAGUCUGAACAUAGACACACUUUCAGAUGGAGACUCUGGUGUUGAUCAGUUUCGGUUUUAUACAGUCUUACACUUGAAAUGGAUGACAAGCAAACCUGGUAUUACAUUGUCUGUUACAGAUCUGACAGUAGAGGAAGCGGCUGCACACAAACAGCAUCAGACUGAAGUGACCUGCAGCACCUCCGUUGGGCUCUGAACUUCAGUAUGUCUGGUACAAGACUGGACAGAUUCUACAAGACAGAACCACUGACAGCCUCCAUACUAGUCUAUGAAGUGGCCAGAUACUCCUGUGCAGUGAGAGGUCAUGAAGCUCUACGCUCCCCAGCAGUGUGUGAGUAUACAGAUCACCUCCAGUGAUUUACAUUUGUACUUCUUUUCAGUUCUUAUCAGAGAGCAGGAAUGACAUUCAAAUAUUUUAAUCCACAAUGUAAUUUGUUUGACAGUUGAGAUCCAUCACUGGACCUUUAACAAACAAUAAUAUGUGCAUUCAGCCUGUAGCUUUUCUCGUUUAUGUGGGUUUUGGUGCUGUGUGUGAUUAUAGGUGUUCCAGAUAAAGAGUGCUGGGGUGUGACCUACUCUGAUGAGAAUAUCUGUGUAUUAAUGGGCUCAUCAGUGGACAUUCCAUGCACUUACUUUUAUCUAAGAGCUGACCACAUCAGCAACAUGUUUUGGUUUCACAGCCAAAAAUCUAUAAAGUAUGGGUUUCUUGGUAAGAAAGAAAAUAGUUGUACCCUGAGACUGAAAGACAUCAGAGAGAGUCACUGGAGAAUAUACCUUCAGGUUAACAACAACAGGGGGGCAGGGUUUCUCUGGAGUACCUGGAGUCACCAUCUCUGUUACAGAUCUGCAGGUGUGGGCACCUCUUGAUACAGUGAAAGAGGGGGACAAAGUCACCCAUACCUGUAAUACUACCUGUACUCUGAGUAACGACCCCACCUUCAUCUGGUACAAGAAUGGACAGCCUGUGACCUAUAAACACACAACCAGAGACAACAAGCUGCAUCUAAACCCAGCCAGCAGUGAGGAUGCAGGCAAUUACUCCUGUGCAUCGGCUACAGUAUUUGAUUUGUAAUGAUUAUUAAUCACUCAUGUUCACAGAAGUAAAAGAAGUAAAGAAACCAAUGUGCAGAGUGUGGGGACUGUGAGUGACACGCACAUGCCUCUCCAGAGAAGAACUCAGUCCUCAGUGUAUGAGACUCUACAGGGAAGAGAGACGCCCCAAACAGAGAUGGAGAUGAAGGAUCUUUCAUAGACUGUCUUUCAACAGUUUUGGUUUUGGGCAAUUCCACGGAAAAUUGACUUUUUGUCACAUCCA